rnacentral:rRNA from 1 species
UACGUAGGGACCAAGCGUUGUCCGGAAUCAUUGGGCGUAAAGAGCGUGUAGGCGGCUUGUUAAGUCUUGCGUGAAAUCUCGGGGCUCAACCCCGAGCGGUCGUGAGAAACUGGCAGGCUAGAGUGCGGGAGAGGAGAGUGGAAUUCCGGGUGGAGUGGUGAAAUGCGUAGAGAUCCGGAGGAACACCAGAGGCGAAGGCGGCCUGCUGGGCUGCACCUGACGCUGAGCCGCGAAAGCCAGGGGAGCGAACGGG